UCUAUCCCUGUAUCGUGCCCAAUUCACUU
rnacentral:piRNA from 1 species